rnacentral:rRNA from 1 species
UACGUAGGGGGCAAGCGUUGUCCGGAUUUAUUGGGCGUAAAGAGCGUGUAGGCGGCCUGACAAGUCUGCUGUGAAAACUCGAGGCUCAACCUCGAGAUGUCGGCGGAAACUGUCUGGCUAGAGUCCGGAAGAGGAGAGUGGAAUUCCUGGUGUAGCGGUGAAAUUCGUAGAUAUUCGGAAGAACACCAGUGGCGAAGGCGGCUCACUGGCCCGGUACUGACGCUGAGAUACGAAAGCGUGGGGAGCAAACAGG